rnacentral:rRNA from 1 species
GGGGGAAUAUUGCACAAUGGGCGCAAGCCUGAUGCAGCCAUGCCGCGUGUAUGAAGAAGGCCUUCGGGUUGUAAAGUACUUUCAGCGAGGAGGAAGGCGUUGUGGUUAAUAACCGCAACGAUUGACGUUACUCGCAGAAGAAGCACCGGCUAACUCCGUGCCAGCAGCCGCGGUAAUACGGAGGGUGCAAGCGUUAAUCGGAAUUACUGGGCGUAAAGCGCACGCAGGCGGUCUGUCAAGUCGGAUGUGAAAUCCCCGGGCUCAACCUGGGAACUGCAUCCGAAACUGGCAGGCUAGAGUCUUGUAGAGGGGGGUAGAAUUCCAGGUGUAGCGGUGAAAUGCGUAGAGAUCUGGAGGAAUACCGGUGGCGAAGGCGGCCCCCUGGACAAAGACUGACGCUCAGGUGCGAAAGCGUGGGGAGCAAACA